CCCUUAGAUGUUCUGGGCCGCACGCGUGCUACACUGAUGCAUUCAACGAGUCUAAAACCUGCUCUGAUAGGGGUGGGUAAUCUUUUGAAUGUGCAUCGUGAUUGGGAUAGAUGAUUGCAAUUUUUCAUCUUCAACGAGGAAUGCCUAGUAAACGCAAGUCAUCAGCUUGCAUUGAUUACGUCCCUGCCCUUUGUACACACCGCCCGUCGCUCCUACCGAUUGAAUGAUCCGAUGAAUAUCAUGGAUUGAGGAUGCAAGUAGGUUCGCCUAUCUUCAUCUUCGAGAAGCGAAGUAAAUCUUAUCAUUUAGAGGAAGGAGAAGUCGUAACA
rnacentral:rRNA from 1 species